UACAGAGGUCUCAAGCGUUGUUCGGAUUCAUUGGGCGUAAAGGGUGCGUAGGCGGCGGAGUAAGUCGGAUGUGAAAGUCUCCAGGGCUCAACCCUGAAACUGCAUUCGAUACUGCUUUGCUUGAGGACGUGGAGAGGAGAUUGGAAUUCACGGUGUAGCAGUGAAAUGCGUAGAUAUUGGGAGGAACACCAGUGGCGAAGGCGGCUCACUGGACCGGUUCUGACGCUGAGGCGCGAAAGCUAAGGGGAGCGAACGAGGA
rnacentral:rRNA from 1 species